rnacentral:rRNA from 1 species
AAACCAACAGGGAUUGCCUUAGUAACGGCGAGUGAAGCGGCAAGAGCUCAAAUUUGAAAUCGGCCUCCAGGUCGAGUUGUAAUUUGCAGAUUGUAUCUUUAGAGGUUGACUAAAGUCUGUUGGAACACAGCGCCUUAGAGGGUGAGAGCCCCGUAAAGUCAUUUCUAAUUGUAAGAUACUCUCAAAGAGUCGAGUUGUUUGGGAAUGCAGCUCUAAGUGGGAGGUAAAUUCCUUCUAAAGCUAAAUAUUGGCGAGAGACCGAUAGCGAACAAGUACAGUGAUGGAAAGAUGAAAAGAACUUUGAAAAGAGAGUGAAAAAGUACGUGAAAUUGUUAAAAGGGAAGGGUACUAAAUCAGACGUGGAGUUGUGUGUUCAACUAUGUUUCGGCAUUGUGUACUCACACAGCUCUAGGCCAAGGUGGGAUAGUUGGGAAGGAAAAAGCGAUUGGAACGUAGCCCCUCGGGGUGUUAUAGCCAUUUGUAAUACUUCCACGAUUGUCUCAGGACUGCGCUUCGUGCUAGGAUCUUGGCGUAAUGAUUUUGUACCGC